AUGGCAUGCUAAGUUGGCUGCACAGUGCUGAACUAAUAUUUGACUAACUUAAAAUACUAUUUGUCAUAAAACGGUAAGGUAAAAGUCCUAGACAAAAUACGUUAACAUUAGUACUACGCUAGUUUAAGUUAACGCUAACGUGACAUUAUUGUUCAAAUUAAAGCCAAAGCAGUCUUAAAACGCACAUGACUACAGCACUUAUUUAAUUUCAUAUUAACAACACGGUCUCCGGUUGGGGAUGCAGCUGUCGUGGGGGCUCGCUUUAUCAGCAGUGGAGAUGCUAGUACAUUUGAAUGUAUGGCGCUAGCAGCACCUGCUAACAUAAUCGCCACUGUAACAACAUUUCGGAUGGACGAGUUUAAAAACGGAGAUACGUAGGUAAUAAUUAGUUGCACAAAUGCCCUCACUUAAAUUUCAUGUGUGAUCGAAAUGGUCACAAUUUUGAGCCUUUGGGCAAUAGUUGUGCGGGCAUUAAGGGGAAGUUAGCUGUGGUGUUUUGUGGACAGCAGGCUAAACAAGCUAUAGCCACGUGCCUUUAACAGGACAUAGGAAAGAGAGAUCAAGUUAGUAUACACUUUUGGAUAACUAAAGCAGAUGCACAGAUUAAACUCUAGAUAUGAAUGCUUAGUCUGUCUAAUUUGAGAGAUUUGAUCCACGUUUUUUAAUGCUGCAUAGUUAAUUAAUGACCGAUUUCUUAAAUCAAGUUAAACCACAGAUUUUUAACCUUAUUCGAACAUGCAUUUUCUUUGUCUUUAGAUACCAAAGAGCUUUUGUGACUUUGGCUCUUCAAGCUUCACAUCCAGAAAAACUUCAGAAUAUAUACAAUUACAGCUAUAACUAUUCCCAGGUAAAAAUGAGUAAAAUGUUUCUCCGAACAUUCAGUGAAGUAAAACUUCCUCUGUGUACUCCAGGACUGUUCUUUUUGUUAAUAGACAUGCUGGCGGCAUAUGUAUAAUCGUGAUGAAUCAGAGGUGCACGCUGAGCUUGGCAGUUGCCCAUUGAAAAUGUAUAUGUGCCAUCAGCCCGACACGAUUGGGAUUGUAAUAGAAGGACAGCCCGUGGUCCGAGGUGUGCCAAACCUGUCAAAAAUAUGCUGCCUCCUCUUUGGACUCACCUAUGCCCUUGACCUCAAAUAUCCUGCAAAACUGGUAUAUACUUUUGAGAUAUAUCAGAGGCUGUUUGUGGGAUUGGACCCCAUGCGUCCGAAGACAUCAUCCAAGUACACAAAUCUCCUCACAAAAUUGAAUUUGAUGAUUUCUCAACGGCAUCUGGCAUUGUUUGCCAUCAUUUGAAAAAAUGCAAUUACUAUGGUAGGUGAGUUUACCAAAUACCAACUUAAACGUUUUAAACCUCAAGACUCAUUUGACAAGCUGCUCAGGUAAUAUAAUUUCCAUGGUUAUUUUCGUUUUGUGUUCAUUGUUCAGUGCCUUAAUUAAUGUGGACUUUGGACUGUGUUAUGUGCCGAUCAUUACCUCAUGAGGUAUACAGUAUACUCAACCUAACAGUGUUGUGUGCAAAAUUUGGGAGUUCUUAAAUAAUAAUGGA